rnacentral:rRNA from 1 species
UACAGAGGUCUCAAGCGUUUGUUCGGAUUCAUUGGGCGUAAAGGGUGCGUAGGCGGCGCGGUAAGUCGGAUGUGAAAUCUCGGAGCUUAACUCCGAAACUGCAUUCGAUACUGCCGUGCUUGAGGACUGGAGAGGAGACUGGAAUUUACGGUGUAGCGGUGAAAUGCGUAGAUAUCGUAAGGAAGACCAGUGGCGAAGGCGGGUCUCUGGACAGUUCCUGACGCUGAGGCACGAAGGCCAGGGGAGCAAACGGG